ACUGACACGGAACAACGGCAAACACGCCGCCGGGUCAGCGGGGUUCUCCUGAGAACUCCGGCAGAGAAAGCAAAAAUAAAUGCUUGACUCUGUAGCGGGAAGGCGUAUUAUGCACACCCCGCGCCGCUGAGAAAAAGCGAAGCGGCACUGCUCUUUAACAAUUUAUCAGACAAUCUGUGUGGGCACUCGAAGAUACGGAUUCUUAACGUCGCAAGACGAAAAAUGAAUACCAAGUCUCAAGAGUGAACACGUAAUUCAUUACGAAGUUUAAUUCUUUGAGCGUCAAACUUUUAAAUUGAAGAGUUUGAUCAUGGCUCAGAUUGAACGCUGGCGGCAGGCCUAACACAUGCAAGUCGAACGGUAACAGGAAGAAGCUUGGGUCCCACCUGACCCCAUGCCGAACUCAGAAGUGAAACGCCGUAGCGCCGAUGGUAGUGUGGGGUCUCCCCAUGCGAGAGUAGGGAACUGCCAGGCAUCAAAUAAAACGAAAGGCUCAGUCGAA
rnacentral:misc_RNA from 1 species